UAGGGAAUCUUCGGCAAUGGGGGGAACCCUGACCGAGCAACGCCGCGUGAGUGAAGAAGGUUUUCGGAUCGUAAAGCUCUGUUGUUAAGGAAGAACGAGUGUGAGAAUGAAAAGUUCAUGCUGUGACGGUACUUAACCAGAAAGGGACGGCUAACUACGUGCCAGCAGCCGCGGUAAUACGUAGGUCCCGAGCGUUGUCCGGAUUUAUUGGGCGUAAAGCGAGCGCAGGCGGUUAGAAAAGUCUGAAGUGAAAGGCAGUGGCUCAACCAUUGUAGGCUUUGGAAACUGUUUAACGUGAGUGCAGAAGGGGAGAGUGGAAUUCCAUGUGUGGCGGUGAAAUGCGUAGAUAUAUGGAGGAACACCGGUGACGAAAGCGGAUUUUUGGCCUGAAACUAACAAUGAGGCGCGAAAGCGUGGGGAGCAAACAGG
rnacentral:rRNA from 1 species